rnacentral:rRNA from 1 species
CGAGUUUGAUCAUGGCUCAGAACGAACGCUGGCGGCAGGCCUAACACAUGCAAGUCGAGCGAGGACUUCGGUCCUAGCGGCGGACGGGUGAGUAACGCGUGGGAACGUGCCCUUUGGUACGGAAUAGCCCCGGGAAACUGGGAGUAAUACCGUAUGGUGUCUUCGGACUAAAGAUUUAUCGCCAAAGGAUCGGCCCGCGUUGGAUUAGGUAGUUGGUGGGGUAAUGGCCUACCAAGCCGACGAUCCAUAGCUGGUUUGAGAGGAUGAUCAGCCACACUGGGACUGAGACACGGCCCAGACUCCUACGGGAGGCAGCAGUGGGGAAUCUUAGACAAUGGGGGCAACCCUGAUCUAGCCAUGCCGCGUGAGUGAUGAAGGCCCUAGGGUUGUAAAGCUCUUUCAGCUGGGAAGAUAAUGACGGUACCAGCAGAAGAAGCCCCCGGCUAACUCCGUG